AAGGGCGACCUGAAAACACACAUGAUAAUUCAUACAGGGCAAAAAGCAUUUGUCUGUUCUGAGUGUGGUCAAAGAUUUAGAGAAAAGGGCACCCUGCACAGACACAUGAUAAGUCAUACAGGGCAAAAAGCAUUAGUCUGUUCUGAAUGUGGUCAAAGGUUUGGACGAAAGGACAACCUGAAAACACACAUGAUAAUUCAUACAGGACAAAAAGCAUUUGUCUGUUCUGACUGUGGUAAAAGAUUUAGAGAAAAGGGCACCCUGAAAACACAUAUGAUGAUUCAUACCAGACACACCAUUUAGCUGUUCUGAUCAGAGUAAAAGACAGAAACAGAAAGGUACUCUGAACAAACACAUGAUAAUUCAUAGUCAUUCACUGCCCCCCC